rnacentral:rRNA from 1 species
GAUGAACGCUGGCGGCGUGCCUAAUACAUGCAAGUCGAGCGAACGGACGAGAAGCUUGCUUCUCUGAUGUUAGCGGCGGACGGGUGAGUAACACGUGGAUAACCUACCUAUAAGACUGGGAUAACUUCGGGAAACCGUAGCUAAUACCGGAUAAUAUUUUGAACCGCAUGGUUCAAAAGUGAAAGACGGUCUUGCUGUCACUUAUAGAUGGAUCCGCGCUGCAUUAGCUAGUUGGUAAGGUAACGGCUUACCAAGGCAACGAUGCAUAGCCGACCUGAGAGGGCGAUCGGCCACACUGGAACUGAGACACGGUCCAGACUCCUACGGGAGGCAGCAGUAGGGAAUCUUCCGCAAUGGGCGAAAGCCUGACGGAGCAACGCCGCGUGAGUGAUGAAGGUCUUCGGAUCGUAAAACUCUGUUAUUAGGGAAGAACAUAUGUGUAUGUAACUGUGCACAUCUUGACGGUACCUAAUCAGAAAGCCACGGCUAACUACGUG